rnacentral:rRNA from 1 species
ACCAUGAGAGCCGGUAACACCCGAAGUCAGUAGCCUAACCGCAAGGGGGGCGCUGCCGAAGGUGGGAUUGGUAAUUGGGGUGAAGUCGUAACAAGGUACC